GCAGUUGUGGGAGGCUACACACCAGUUUCAGAGGGUUGGGGACAUUUAGAUUCUAUGUCGUGAUAGAUUACGGUAAGAACUUCAUAUUUUAUUUACUAAUUAAGUUGUUAUAUGAUUUAAUUUUUAUAUUAAAAUUAAUGUAUUUCUGAAUUAUGCAGAUGCGUUACGUGGAGUACGUUACUAAGAGAUACGGUGAUGACCCAUCUUCUCAGCCCCCCUUGACCUUGUGGGAUGGCUUAGCACCAUCAAGUGGGUGAAUAGGAGUCGGGUCAUCAGAAUCAACC
rnacentral:lncRNA from 1 species